ACCUUCUCAGGGUCUCAUCUGGAGAAUUUCCAGUACUCUACCAGUCUCAACUACAGGAGGGAAAGCAAAGCAGAAGCAAACCCAUUCCAUUCCUAGUUUGGGCAGUGACUAGUAAGUGGAAGUCAAUCUGCUACUAGU